GUGUUGCUGGCAUCAAAUUCUAAAGUUAUUGAUUAUUUGCACCAAAAAAACGUUUAUAAGUUUGAACAUCAAAUAUGUUGUCUUUGUAGCAUAUUCAACUGAAUAUGGGUUGAAAAGGAUUUGCAAAUCAUUGUAUUCUGUUUAUAUUUACAUCUAACACAAUUUCCCAACUCAUAUGGAAACGGGGUUUGUACUUAAUUUAAUAAUUAAUUACAUUUAUGAAAGAGUAAUUCUGUUUGUAAUUGAAUUUUUUGUCAAGUAACGACUAUUAUUAUUCCUUUUUAAAACAGAUAUUCCAAACAUUGUUAAUUGAUAAACUGUUUUAUCAGGAUAUGGUGUAUUUGCUCUUGCAUCAAUUUAAAAAGGUUCUUUUGUGGUCGAGUACCGAGGGAAGUUCAUCUCAAGACAUGAGCGGGACAAGAGACAGAAACCCUCUAUAAAUAUCUUUAGUAUUUAUCUGGCAUUAUAUGCUCAUAAUGUUAACAACAAAAAGUGCUGAUAAUGUUAUAAUUAAUAAGUUCUAACAUUAUUUUUCUGUGUUUUGUUGCAGACAGCAACUGUUGAUGUUCUAUCUCAACAUUCUCCAGAUUCAUGUGAGCGAUAAACCGACUUCAUCCCUCCAACAGACACCAACUGUUGGGGUUCUAUCUCAACAUUCUCCAGAUUCAGAUGUGAGCGAUAAACCGACUUCAUCCCUCCAACAGAAACCAACUGUUGAGGUUCCAUCUCAACAUUCUCCAGAUUCAGAUGUGAGCCAUUAACUGACUUCAUCCCUCCAACAG